rnacentral:snRNA from 13 species
AUCGUUCCCUGUCGACAAAAUCCAGCUUCACGAGUGGAGGCUCACCAUUGCACUUCGGUGGGUUGCAACUCGCGACGAACCCUUAUCGGGUGCUCUCAGACGUGUAGUUUUUGUCAGUGAGGAGCUCUCACAGUCCUCC